ACGGGAGGCAGCAGUGAGGAAUAUUGGUCAAUGGGCGAGAGCCUGAACCAGCCAAGUAGCGUGAAGGAUGACUGCCCUAUGGGUUGUAAACUUCUUUUAUAAAGGAAUAAAGUCGGGUAUGCAUACCCGUUUGCAUGUACUUUAUGAAUAAGGAUCGGCUAACUCCGUGCCAGCAGCCGCGGUAAUACGGAGGAUCCGAGCGUUAUCCGGAUUUAUUGGGUUUAAAGGGAGCGUAGAUGGAUGUUUAAGUCAGUUGUGAAAGUUUGCGGCUCAACCGUAAAAUUGCAGUUGAUACUGGAUAUCUUGAGUGCAGUUGAGGCAGGCGGAAUUCGUGGUGUAGCGGUGAAAUGCUUAGAUAUCACGAAGAACUCCGAUUGCGAAGGCAGCCUGCUAAGCUGCAACUGACAUUGAGGCUCGAAAGUGUGGGUAUCAAACAGGAUUAGAUACCCUGGUA
rnacentral:rRNA from 1 species